rnacentral:rRNA from 1 species
CCUACGGGUGGCAGCAGUGAGGAAUAUUGGUCAAUGGUCGGGAGCCUGAACCAGCCAAGCCGCGUGAAGGAUGACUGUCCUACGGGUUGUAAACUUCUUUUAUAAAGGAACAAAGUGAGGCACGUGUGCCUUUUUGUAUGUAUUUUAUGAAUAAGGAUCGGCUAACUCCGUGCCAGCAGCCGCGGUAAUACGGAGGAUCCGAGCGUUAUCCGGAUUUAUUGGGUUUAAAGGGAGCGUAGAUGGGUUGUUAAGUCAGUUGUGAAAGUUUGCGGCUCAACCGCCAGAUUGCAAUUGAUACUGGCAGCCUUGAGUACAGUUGAGGUAGGCGGAAUUCGUGGUGUAGCGGUGAAAUGCUUAGAUAUCGCGAAGAACUCCGAUUGCGAAGGCAGCCUACUGAACUGCCACUGACGUUGAUGCUCGAAAGUGUGGGUAUCGAACAGGAUUAGAUACCCGAGUAGUC